GCCAGAAGGGCUCGAAGGGACCAGCCAACCCCUCAUAUUGCAGAUGAAGUUUCGUUUGAACCUGGGCUCCAAGAGGGCUUGGCAUACAACAGGAAAGCGUUAACAUUUUCCAGAAGCGGUUGUUGCCUCUCUGCUGAAGGCUACUUUAACAUGAAAAUCCACGACUUGUUUGAAUUAGCUCUCUUACUCUUGGGCGCUGAGAAUGGAAGAGAGGUAAGUCAGAGGGAGGAAGUGAUGUCACAGGGGACCUCUAGUAAAAGCCACUAGACAGAAAGACAGUUGCCACCGGAGCCUACCUUCCAGUAGUCAUUAGCAUGGAAGGAAGAUGCUAGGCGGAGCAGCUGCUGGGGAGUGGUGUUGCGGGGGGCGGGGCAGAAAGUGACCAGGGGCUACUCCAGGAGAGGCACCUGUACAUGCAGCUCAGGAAAUGACUGGAGUCAUUCAGGAGGUGAUGGGAGUCUCUCUGCCUUAUUGGAUACAGACACAGGAUACUACUUAGUGCAUGUGAGGGUACAGGGUACCCCUGGUUCGACUCCCUGUGAUCAAACUGGCCAAACUCACUGGGCCACCGUUCAGAGAACUUAAGCCACUGGAAGACAAAAAAGUUCUCUCAGCCUAAUCCCCAACACCACCCCAACACUGCCUCCUCCACCAGCCAUGCUUUGCAGGGAAAUUGGAAUCAACCACGUGGAGCAUAUAUCUCAGAGGAAGGACUCAAGUUCCCUAGGACCGUAGGCUCUCUCUGAACCCACAGAGACCGUCUCUGCCUGGGUUUCUUUUCCAUGUUCCUGUGGUGUGUGACAGGGGAAAGGGGUGGAGCUGAGAGAGAGGCUAUGCAAGUCUGUUCAGAAACCCAGAGGAAAAAAUUAGUACAGACGAAGUAGGAUAAAAAAAAGUUUCAACGUUUCCAAGAAUACCUAAAUAAUUGCUGCUGUUCCGGCCCCCAGAUUGGAGGUUUAUUUGAGUAAUAAGUCUGGCAUGACUCCCUAUGCCAUGCUUUGGUCCUGGAGGCUAGACGAGCUCUGCAGUGUCUACAAGGGCUAUCCUAAGCGUGUGUGGAAUUCUGGGCAUGCCACUCUGAGCCAAAGGAACACCAAGUUGGGCUCUGGAGCUGAGAAUGUUGGUAGAGGGCUUGCCUAGCGUUCAGGGAGCCCUGGGUUUGAUCUCCAGUGCUGCAUUCACCAGGUAUGGUAACACACGCCUGUAAUACCAGUGCCCUGGAGACACAAGGAUCAGAUAUUCAAAGUCUUAGGGCAUGGGAAGCCAGUCAAGGCUAUGUGAGACUUUGUUUAAAAGGAAAGUUUGACUCUAUGAUGGUGGAUGUUGAUUGUCAAUAACAGGAUCAUCCAGGAGACAGGCCUCCAGACAACCUAUGAAAGGGUAUCUGGAUUUGGUUAGCUUCUGAGCAUGCCUGUGAGAAAUUAUCUUGGCUAGGUUAGUCUCUUCCUAACACAAGCAGCACGUGUGUGAGGAAUUAUCUUGAGUGAGUUAAUUGAGGUAGGAAGACCCACGCUUAAAGUAGACGGUACCUAGAUUUGGGUCCUGCACCAUAUAUAAAGGAGGAAGCCAGCUGGGUGCCAGCAUUCACCUCCCUCUGCUUCCUGACCAUGAGGGCAAUGUGACCAGCAGCCCCCUCAGGCUCCUGCCACCAUGAUGUCAAUACCACAGUGGACUGCACCCUUGACCUGUCGAACCAAAUAAACCCUUUCCCCCAAAGCCACUUUUGUCAGAACAUUUCAUCACAUCAACGGAAAAAAAGUAACUAAGGCAGGCUUUAGUGCAAGGUGGUGAGGGUGAUAUUUCACACUGGAGGGACAUGUCCAUGGACCCACAAGACCAUCAUUUCUGAGCUUCCUGGGUUUGAAUUUUCUACCAUGCAAGUUCGUGACCCACCUUAAUUUCUAAUCAGAAGUUGGUGUAUAUAAAGGGGCAGCACUCUGCCUCACAUUCAAUUCCCCUGGUCUCAGCCAGAGACUGGUUCCUUGUAUCACCCCUAAGUAUUCGUGUUCCCCCACGCUUCAGAGGGAUGUGUUAACUUUGCAUGUGUUCUUGGGUAUUACAAUAGCCACGCUUCUCAACAUAUGACUGACAUCAGCUCCCUUGUAGCUGUGUGUGUGUGUGUGUGUGUGUGUAUGUGUGUGUGUGUGUGUGUGUGUUUUCCCCUGCAGAUCCCAAAGGAGGAGCUAGAUCUUGGACACGGGAUUCUGAUGCUGACUCUGCCGUGAAGUGGUCUUGUGCCUUUGUGCAACAGGACUAACCCCAAUGAGAAGGUUAAGAAUGGAUUCAGCCUGUACAUCCAGACUCUGCAGCUUCCCUUGGUACCUUCUACUGGAUCCUAUGAUGGUGUGCUCCAUUCUACCCGUGUCAAAUAAAGAAAAGAAGGCCAUGGGGAUGAAUGAAUGUGGAACGUCAUCUCUCUGACUCAAGACUGUGGCCCACUAGUACUCUUCUGCCCCCUGGGGACUUCUGCAUAAGGCACCCAGCCUCUGCCGUCGCUGGAUUCCUGGGCUAGAGCAGCACCCGAGACCAGACACGGGCCAUCUGGUUAAAUGAACAACUCAACCCAGGAAUCACAGCCUUGACGAACAGCUGGGAUUUGGAAUAAAGGGUAGAGAAGAACACCACUAAUGGCCACAAAGGCCUGUCACCAAAGGCAGAGGUGGCCUGGGGUGCCUUUCUCUGAGGAGUGUACCUGCGGAGACUCCAGGACCUGCCCCAGCCUUUCCUAUACACAGUGCAUGAAGGCACCCUGGUGUCCCAACCCUGCGAGCUCUGUGUGCCCUCCCAUGCCCGCCGCCCUCCUGGGCUCCGGAGGGUGGAGGCUAGCGGCUGCCUUCCUCAACCAGCAGGCCAGAAGCAGCCCCACCCACCCGCCAGCAGGAUGCAGGCCUGUCUCCAGCAGACGCCAGCUCCAGACUGUGGCCUGAGCCGAGUCCAGAACAGAACCCAGGGCACAGAUGUUCAUAUUCUACCACUCCCGACGUGCCUCUUGAAAAAAAAAAAAAAUUCUCAGAGCCAGCCUUCGUCAAUCCACCUUUGAGUGAAGAGAAGAGGGGUCCUUCUCUCCUGCAGCUGCGGGCAUCUGGCUGCCCGCCCUCGGGGGGCCAGCCACAGGCUGCAGGUCCAUGCCGCCCUUGUCUGCACUGCUGGCUGUUGGCCGAAGUCCCUACAGAGAGGCGAUGACUAAGAAAGGGUAAUACAGGUUCCAGUUGGCCCCUGUCUGAAGGUCUCUGGCUUUUUCUGGCUGCCUCACACUUUGGGAGGUGUCUAACUGAGGUGAGGGGCAGACUGCAAAAUCCCUAAACCCCCUAAACCGGGCCCUACAGGCAGAUCAAGACACACACCCCUGGCCUCAGUCAGCAGGGGAGAACUCAGUGUCCACUAAGGUCCUCUGACCUGCCAAGCAUUUACAGUGUACAGAACUACCUAAAAAGCAAGGUUCUAGGGGGCUGGGGUGGGGUUGGGGGUGGGACUGGCUUAGUCUAUAAAGUUCCUCCUUCUGUACAAGCAAGCAAAGGAACCUGAAUUCCAUUUGCAGCACCCACAUUAAAAAGACGGUGGUUGUGGGAGGCUCCCCGGGACCUAACUGGGCAAAGGCACCAAGCCUGCUGACCUGAGUUCAAUCCCCAGGGUCUGCGUGGUAGGUGACUAUAGACUCCACAUGUUGUCCUCUGACCCCUACACAUACACCGUGACCUGCACGCCCACAUGUGCACACAUACACACGCACAAUAAAUGUGAUUUGUGAAUGAAAACACUAAAAAAGCAAAACCCACGCAUGGUGGGAAGUGUCUGGAAUCCUACCACUGAGGAGGCAGAGACAGGGGGAUCCCUGGGGCUUCCAAGGAAUCUAGCAGGAUUGGCGAACUUCAGCCUUAGGGAAAGACCUUGCCUCCAAAAAUAAGGUAGAGAGCAAUUGAGGACACUCAAUUUCUACCUCUAUCCUCCACAUGCACACACAUGUACACACGCACACACACACACACACACACACACACACACACACACACACACACACACACAAAGUAUUACACAUCAUAUACACAAAUUAAUAAACUCCAGGCUCUGCCAUGAGCCAUGUGAUCUUGGUAAUAUAGCAUGACAUAGGUCUGAGCCCCAGUUUCAUCAUCUAUCAAAUGGGAUGAUUAUAACGACAUCCUGAAGAUAAGAUGACAGAGGUGGUAAAUCUUCUAGUCAGCCAGACAGCUGGUGCCUGUCUGGUGGAGAGAGAGGGGUGGGGGUGAGAGAGAGGCAAGAGAGAAAGGAGAGAGAGGGAGAGGGAGGGAUUGAAAGAGAGAGAGACAUUACCCUUUGUCUCUAGCAUAAAAGUACAAGGUUGGCACCAAGUAAGAGUUAAGAAUCUGAAGCCAACUGCCCUGGUUCAGAUCCUAGCAAGCUAUGUGAUCUUGGUCAAGUUACUCUCUCUACAGCUGUAAAAAUAGGGACCAUUAGUACAUGGUACCCAGGGCUGCUGGGAGAUACAAUGGCAUUUGCAGCAGUGUUAAUGCUAGCCCACAGGCCCUCUUCUGUUCCAGGUAGCCUGGUUCACCCCAGUCUUUUCAGGGUCUAUUUCUGACCAGAGCAGGGAAGGCUGGGAAGCUCCACCCAAACUUUCUCCUCAGGAUGAAAAGCUGGGCCGCCCCUCCCCAUCUCCAACCAGCAUCAGGUUUUCAGAAAUGUCUUUAACCUGUGCCUUAGGCGACAAAGCCCUCCAAACCACUUGUGUGGGAUGAACAGGUCCCCCGAGCUUCCUGCCCACUCGGCAUCUAGGCCUUCAAUCCCUAGAGCCAUCGCCACCUCGCUGCACCUCUCUGGAGGGAGGCUGCUUCCUUUUGUACUCUCCGUGUCAUCUGCCCCUCUGGCUCCUGGUUGACACAGCUGCCAGCCGCAUGCCAUCGGCCAGCCUGCCUGAUGACCACAGUGGCCAAGCGCAAGCUGUGCUGGGAGCCUGUGACCCACCAGUAAGGAGCUGCGGCCACCGGUAGCACAGCGGCUGUCAGUCUGGGGCUGUUCUCCACAGGAGCUCCUUAAGGAAAGUAUUUGGACUGAGGGUGUAGCUCAGUCAGUGGAGUGCUUGCCUAGUGUGCAAAGCUCUGGGUUCCUUCCUCAGCACUGGACACAGUGGCAGACACCUUUAAUCCCAGCACUCAGUGGGUAGAGGUGACUCACCUCUACUACCCGUGAGUUCAAGGACAACCUGAGCUAGAGGAGAACUUGUCUCAAAAAAUAAAUAAGAAUAAAAAGGAAAAGAAAGGCAGCAUGAUUCACUCUGAUAUGUCAGGCGGAGGGAGAAACUUCUAGAGCAUUCUGUGUCUGGACCAUGGCAGAGGCUGACGGGAUCCAGGUCUCAUCAUCUCCUAUCAUUUGCCUUGGCUCUGCCUUCUCUCCAUCACUGACUCAGUUUGUCACUCAAACCCGAAGUAUGCUCAAGUGAAAUACACCAUUUGCCACUUCUUAAGCAAACCAAGUGGAGCAGCCGCUUUACCCUGGCUGUAUAAGGAGCCAUUGCUUUUGCACUAGGCUCAGUGUGGUGGGCACAUCGCCCUGGCCCCACAGGGAACAGAAUGCAAGCGCUGACACUCAUUUCCAAGCAAAAUGUGCAACAAAUACUAGAACCCAGAUGUUCCACAGCCCAGGUCUUCUCCGUUUUAUCUCUGAUGUAUUCCUAGACCGGGAAGAGAGUCUACCAUGCAACAUAGCAGGACUUUAAUAAAUGUUUGUUGGGUAACUAUUACACAGGCUCACAGCCUGAGGUUCAAGCUGCUGCUGAUUCAUGUAUAUGCCCUCUCUGCACUGGGGAGAAGCUUGGCAUCCUUGGGUCAUACGCCAUUUCCUUGGCUGCUCCUGAUAGCCUAGUAGUCAGGCUUUUGUUUUGUUUUGUUUUGUUUUUCAACUUACUUAUUUUAUGAGUAUGGUUGUUUUCUUUGAAUGUAUAUCUAUGCAUCACAUGCAUUCCUUGUGCUCUUAGAGACCAGAAGGAACAAGACACACUGGCACUGGAGUGACAAAUGCCAUGUGGAUGUAGGGAACCAAACCAAGGUCCUCCAAAAGAGCAGCCAGUGCGCUUUACUUCUGAGUGUGUGUGAGUGUGUGUGUGUGUGUGUGUGUGUGUGUGUGUGUGUGUGUGUGUAGAGGGGGAGUGCUUGUUUGUUUGCUUGCUUAAAGAGGGUCUCUUGCUGGCCUGGUAUUCACUGCUUGGGCAAGGCUAGCUGGCUAGCAAACCCUGGGGGAUCUGCUUGUCUCCUCCUCACCACUGCUAGCUGGGAUCAAAGAGGGAGCCACCAUGUCCGCCAUUUUUAAAUGGGUUCUGGGGACCAAACUCAGCUCCUUAGACCUGUGAGGCAAGAAUUUUGCCUACUGAGCUAACCCUCUCGGCCUAAAUGCUUGACUUUUAAGAGAGUAGCACAAGAUGAAGGCUCAAAGAAAACACCACCAGGUCUAGGGCCAGGCGAGAAAUCUCUAAAAAUCUAGGAGAUCGAUGUGAUGUAAAGAGCUGAAGUGAGGAAGAUGAGGAGACCAAAGGGGAAUAUUUAGGACGUGGAGAACAGUGACUGAAGCAGACAAAGGUAGGAGGGCCAAGGAAAGUUCUAGUUUCCAGUGUAUGAAGUGUAGAUGAGGGAGCCCCAAAACCGAGGCAGAAAUGCACAAAAGUAUUAAUGGUGCUGGGUGAAUCACAGGCCAAGGUGAGACUGAACAGCCCGAAGAUCAUCCAGGGGAACAGGAUGCACUGAGGCAGCUAAGUGGGCCUUAAAUGGCUGAGAGGGAACCGCAGUGGAAAUCCCGACAUUCGAGUGGCAACCGGAAGAGCAUUCCACACAGAUGGUGAGUUGGAGGGCUCACAGCAGACGUAAUAAUAAGAAGAGUGGGAGAAGGGAGCUAGCUACCAGAGUGUCUGAUCUUGCUCCGUGCUGCAGACACCUCCUUCGGGAUCAGCACUGGAGAAUGCCCACUACCCCUGGCCUCUGGAAGGUUGUGGAGAGCCUUGGUGAGGGCAGUUUGACUGAGGCACUGUGACGGCCAGUUGCACGCCAACUUGACACAAGCUAGAAUCAUUAGGGAGGAAAGAGCCUCAAUUGAAGACACAUCUCCAGCAGAAUGACUUGUGGGUAGCUUAUGGUGCUUUUUCUUGAUAGAUGAUGGAGGGCCCAGCUCGCUGUCGGUGAUGCCAUCCCUGGGCUAAUAAUGGUCCUGGAAGCUAUAAGGAAGUAGGCUGGGUAAGUCAUAAGGCGCAGACCAGUAAACAAUAUUCCUCUAUGGCCAAUGCUUCAGUUCCUACCUCCAGAGUCCUGCUUCAAGUUUCUGCCCCAACUUCCCUGCAUGAUGGAAAGCUUUAGACUGAGAUAAACCCUUUUCUUCCCAAGUUGCUUUUGGUCAUGGGUUUUAUCACAGCAAUAGAAACCUGAAGACAGAUGCUGAGAACAGAAGUUCUCUCAGCACUGGGGAGGGAAAGGGAGAGGGUACAGUGACCUCACACUUCUGAGUGGCUUCAAGAGGAAGGAGAGAGGCAGUCAUGGCUGGAGAGGAGCCCAGGCUCACCAAACACAGACGAACACUGCAUGGUGUGGUACCUACUGUUUGGAGACUUCAGUCCAACAGAACAUCCAAAUAUUGACCCGAGGUUCCAAAGAUGAAAACACUUUUUAAAAUGCUGAGGUCCCACCUCUGUGUGAGGAGGGUCUUGAGAAAGGCAUACAUCAGAGCGGCACUAAUUCAAUAAUGACUUGAAGUCAGUAGUGGAUGCAGCUGUCCGUUCAAGUGCUCUCUCUUUGCCCAAGGAUUGUCAUCAUUCUUCCUUCUCUUUCUUCCUUCCUCCUUCUUCUUUUCUCCUAACCAGAGAACCUUAACCUAGUCUUUUAUUUACUAAAGUUACAUCAUCAACGCUUUGAUCAUUAUUAAUAUAUUUUUGAGAAUUCUCAAG
rnacentral:lncRNA from 1 species